GAAAUGUCGCAGAUAUUCUGUUCGUUUCGUGUAUUCCGAUUCAAUUUCAAAUUUGGAAAUGCUAUGCAAUUUUUUUCUGUUCAAGUUUUUUUGAUCUCCCAAGGAAUGCAAGAAAUAGGUCUUUAAUUAUCAAUUGAAACAAUCAAGAGACAUCAAGAUUAAUUUAAUCUUCUGUGGAUUUGCUAAAAUAUUGGACAAAGAAAAGAAAAAAUGGCAUCUUCGAACUUCUAAAUUACCGGCCAUCUUGACGUUCUCUUGCAUGCGUAUUUGGCAAGUGGUAUCAUUUUGACUCGUCAUUUUGUCGACUCAUCAUUUCAUCCAUUCAUCUCUUCAUCAAUUUACCAUUCAGCGAGAGUGAAGAACAUUCAGCUGGGCUGAAGAAACUUUUGCUGGUCAUACCGGACAGGAGUGCAGGUCUGAAACUCCUCUCAAUGAAGGACCUUUUACAAGUGACUGAAUUGAUAGUGUAUUAAUCAAGGACACCUGUUGACAUUUGAAAGGACAAUCUGCUGAAUUUGUUACUGAUCCAUGAACAAUGGACAUUUUUUUUUUCUCAGAAGACUUAAACACACUUUCUUCUCCACUUUCUUGGACUUUUUCCUUUGCUUGUUCUUCGGAAUGAGACUAUGUUGAAAUAUCUUUU